GUUGAUCCUCUUGCAGAUACUCUGUAAUGCUUACUUUAAACAGACUUUGAAUUGUUGAUAGGAUGACUUAGUUUUGAUACAUCUCUGACCCAAGGAACAGCAAAAACAACUUUAGGCAUACUCGGUGUUCUUGUAAGUGGAUAUGUUGUGAACACAUGAAAUAACCUUCUUUUUGGAGACCAUUAUUUUAAAAUUGUGUUCUUGCUUGUGUUGUAUUCAUCCUUGAUUUGUUUUCUAUGGUUGAUUUGAUUCAUGCAAAUGUAUUUAUUAAUAUGAAGGACAC
rnacentral:lncRNA from 1 species